AUUCACUUCUGCCUAAAGCCUUCUUCACCUCGACACUUCUCCUUUAUCGGGAAACUGCGAUUACGCAUCGAGAUCUUCAUAUCUCAUCGCUCUUCCUCUAAAUUCACAUGUAAAACAUUGUUGCCUUUGUUCAUUAGGUGCUGAAAGAAUCUCCAAGACGCAGGUGAUUCUCGUCUGCUUUCUCUACUUUGGCUUUUGUGAUUUUCGAAUUGUUCAUAUGAUUUUGUGGUUUGAUUGGAUUAUUUCAUUGAUCUGUUGGAGGAGAGUUUGACUUGGCUUAUGUUGGACGUACAUGCAUUACAUUCUGUUGUUUUCAGCUAGUUUUUGUUGUGAGAAGUUAUUCACACGUUUUCGUGUAUUUUCGUAUACAAUCUCUCAUCUCUGUGAUGUUUUUGUCAUAAGCGAAUGAUCCUUUGUUUCGUUUUGGUUUCUAUUUGAUUAGCUGCUUUUGAUUUCUUGGGUAUAGUUUCUGGUAUUAAUUUAAUCUGCUUUCUAUUUGAUAUCCAGCCAAUCGAAAUUGUGAAAGGGUUUAAGGUUCUUGAAGCCAAAAUCUACUGCUCCACAAUCUAUAAGGUGAAAUAAAGUAGAAAUAUGAUUCUGUUGAACUCAUAGUGCUAAUUGAUGGUGUUUGAUUUUAUGGUUUUAGUUCUUCGUGCGAUUCCUUGCUUGAUACCAAUCCUGUCAUAUUACCAAGGGAUAUAUAAUUAUUGAAGCUAUGGCGACUGUCUCCACUAUACAUAAGGUACAAUUUAUAAAUUCACCACAUUCAUAGUUUUGAUCAUCAAAUUCAUCAGAAACGUUUGUUUUCAAUUCGUUUUCAGCUUCUCAUGGUUAUGCAAAUUACUGUGAAUUUAUAAUUUGUGAUUCUGCAUCUCUUUGUCUGAUUGAACUUUGCUUGUUUUCACCUAGUAUUAUGAUGAAUAAUAAAUUAUUUCUAGACAUAUGGUUUGACGGACAUGUCUUCACUUUUACUAUGAAUUAUCUUCCCCACCCCCAAUAAAUGGCGAUUUUAAUAUUCAAUUUUACUGAAGCAUCAAUUUGGACAUGUCUCAUGUGUAUCAGUUUUAUCUUUAUCUAACAAGCAUUAGUAGGGAGUCUAGGGACUACAGCUGCGACAUCAAUUACCACAAUAUUAGCUCGAGCUAACCUUAACAUUUAUUGCUUCUGCCUUCAGCCAUUAUUACAAUGAUCAUGAGACUAUGUACAUAAAAAUCUCUAGUCUUUCCGUAUGAUCUUAAUGAUCAGGAUGGCCAUAUUGUGAACCACAGCAUUUCUAGUUCAUUUGAGCCAUUCUCUCUUUGGAUUGUAUGACAACAUUGGCAUAAAACUGGUAAACAACUUCUGUGUGCAACGUGUCAUUGCUGCAGUUGAAGCCUGUUUCAAGUGUCAAUUUUAUGGUCAUUUGAUAAGACAAACAAUGGCUGAAACCAUUUUUAGGGUGUGUGUGUGUGUGUGUGUGUUAAUUAGGGAUGCAUAGAGCUAACCCGAAAUUCAUCACAUCUUUUGGUGCACCAUUUGUUUGCUUUUGUGGCUGGCUUAGCUCAAGAUUAAUAGGUAUAAAAGGAUAUCCAUCGUUGAUGCUGUGCAUAUUCUGGGGAACCCUGUUUUCUUCGCUUGUGCUUCCCGGGCCAUAAACCUAAAUCAGAACUUGCUUUAAUUUAGACCGAAAUUUACUUUGACAGUUGACUUCUGGCCUACAUUUUAUUCAUCAUACAAGUUUGAUACUUAGUCGUAGUCUGUCAAUACCUUUUUCUUCAAAUCCUCAUUUUCCUUGGCAACAAGAUUCAUCUUCUUGUGAAGUUCCAUAUUCUCUUGAUGGAUGACGUUUCCCUGUAACAAGAUCAAUGAUGCUAUCCCCAAUUCUAAACAUGAAUAUAAAAUAGAAACUCUAGCUUGUUAAUUGUCUCAAAAGUGGACCUUCUGAUUUAAGUCGUUGAUUUGAGUAGUCAGAGUUUGUUCCUGCGAGAGAUAAAUAAAUUAAAUUAAAACUUAUAUGAGAACCUGUCCAUAUAGUUAUGCUAGACAUGAUUGUUACUUGCCUUUUUCACACGAACGCCUUUCAAGCUCAUCUCUAGUUGAUUUUCCAGAUUUUGGAGGUCUCUGAUGUUCAAUCCAGCAAGUUCUUCUCCCAAAAGCUUCCUGCAACCGCAACAGAAGAGGCAAGUCAUUUCAGAUAAAAGAUGAGAGGUAUCAGCAUUUUUUAGGAGGCCCUGUGCCUAUUGUAGUCCUACUAACUGAAUUUCAUUAUACACAUGCCUCUUCUACAUUUCUUUUAAAUCAAGAUGCUUUUGAUGUAUGCACAUUUUUAACGCAUGUUCUGUGUCUCAAGUUCGUAUGACAAUAUAUGCAUAUGCAUCCUCCAUAUGUUAACUGUUUCGUGUUUCUAUAACAAGACGCACAUUGCAGAAUUAUUUAGAGUGGGAUUGAGAUGAUAUAUGCCGUCUACAUGACAAUCGCAA
rnacentral:lncRNA from 1 species